rnacentral:rRNA from 1 species
GAUGAACGCUGGCGGCGUGCUUAACACAUGCAAGUCGAACGAAGCACUUUACUACGAUUUCUUCGGAAUGACGGUUUUGUGACUGAGUGGCGGACGGGUGAGUAACGCGUGGAUAACCUGCCUCAUACAGGGGGAUAACAGCCGGAAACGGCUGCUAAUACCGCAUAAGCGCACGGUACCGCAUGGUACAGUGUGAAAAACUCCGGUGGUAUGGGAUGGAUCCGCGUCUGAUUAGCCAGUUGGCGGGGUAACGGCCCACCAAAGCGACGAUCAGUAGCCGACCUGAGAGGGCGACCGGCCACAUUGGGACUGAGACACGGCCCAAACUCCUACGGGAGGCAGCAGUGGGGAAUAUUGCACAAUGGGGGAAACCCUGAUGCAGCGACGCCGCGUGAGCGAAGAAGUAUUUCGGUAUGUAAAGCUCUAUCAGCAGGGAAGAUAAUGACAGUACCUGACCAAGAAGCCCCGGCUAACUACGUGCCAGCAGCCGCGGU